CGGGAGGGGCACCAGGGCCCCCCCGUCACCGAAGCCGGCUUCUGGUUGCGCGGUGCCAGGGGGGCCUCCUGUCACUUCGCCUGGUGUCGUUGGAGAAUUGCUGGACUUGCUCCAGGAUUCCAGAGUUGAUUUGUUAAUUAAAACAGUCCCAAGAGUUUAGUCUUACAGUUUCUUCCAGCCACUGGGCCUUUGCUCUCCGAGUUCCUUAGUGUUAGCUCUUUGAGGUUUGACUUUUCAUUUCUGACGUUCUUCAUAGCUCUUUUGCUGUCCCCCACGUUCUUUUCUCUUGCGCCUUUUCUCUAUGUAAACAACUCGAUCUCCCUCGAGUUGCCUUCUCUGUAGGAAACGCCAGACGCUGGCUGUUCUGCCCUGUCCACUAGAGAGAGUUGUGUUUGGGGGUUUUUUAAGUAUUUUGACUGUUCCAAUUUGAAUGCUGCUAAAAAAGCCAGGGGACAAUUCCUGUCCUGUCUAAAUGAAAACGUUUGAGAGAUGGGGUCGAGUCCGUGCAGGCUGCCUUGGUGAGCUUGGCAAUGUCCUGUGUGAAAGGCUGGAUCAAAAGCGUCAGGGCCGGCUUGGGGCUGGCCUCCUCUCACCUGGAAGCAGAAGCAGCUCAGCUGCCGCUUCUUCAUGUGCUUCUGUGUUUGUAAUUGUACAGGCAAUGGAACCAAGUACAGAGACUUGUGAAGUGGGCAUCGACGACAGGAGGUCACAACAUAGGGAAGAUUCUUAUUGCAAACCGAGGAGAAAUUGCAUGCCGAGUGAUGCGAACGGCAAAGAAGAUGGGUGUGAAGUCGGUAGCAGUUUACAGUGAAGCAGACAGGAGCUCCAUGCAUGUAGCAAUGGCAGAUGAAGCGUAUUGCAUUGGUCCAGCACCCUCACAGCAGAGUUACUUGGCCAUGGAGAAAAUAAUGCAGGUGGCCAAGGUUUCAGCAGCAGAGGCUAUUCAUCCAGGUUAUGGUUUCCUCUCAGAAAACACAGAGUUUGCAGAGUUGUGCAAGCAAGAGGGAAUCAUCUUCAUAGGUCCGCCUUCAUCUGCUAUCAGAGAUAUGGGUAUUAAGAGCACUUCCAAAGCUAUAAUGUCUGCUGCUGGCGUUCCUGUUGUUGAAGGAUAUCACGGAGAAGAUCAAUCAGACGAGUGUCUAAAGGAACAUGCUAAGAGAAUAGGAUAUCCAGUAAUGAUUAAAGCUGUUCGCGGAGGUGGAGGAAAGGGCAUGAGAAUUGCUCAUUCAGAGAAGGAGUUCCUGGACCAACUAGAAUCAGCUAGGAGAGAAGCAAGGAAGUCUUUCAAUGAUGAUGCCAUGCUGAUUGAGAAAUUUGUAGAUAAUCCGAGGCAUGUUGAAGUCCAGGUAUUUGGUGACCAGCAUGGCAAUGCAGUCUAUUUGUUUGAAAGAGACUGCAGCGUGCAGAGAAGACAUCAGAAGAUCAUUGAAGAGGCACCAGCGCCAGGAAUUAGUUCUCAAGUUCGAAAGAGACUUGGAGAAGCUGCUGUCAAAGCAGCUAAAGCAGUGAAUUAUGUGGGAGCAGGAACGGUGGAAUUUAUUAUGGACUCCCAGCAUAAUUUUUACUUCAUGGAAAUGAAUACCAGACUGCAAGUAGAGCACCCAGUUACAGAGAUGAUCACUGGAACAGACUUGGUGGAAUGGCAGCUUAGGGUUGCAGCAGGAGAGAAGAUUCCCCUAAUGCAGGAAGAGAUUCUGCUCCGGGGCCAUGCAUUUGAAGCUAGAAUAUACGCUGAAGACCCUAAUAAUAACUUCAUGCCAGGGGCCGGGCCAUUGUUGCACUUAUCCACCCCACCACCUGAUAGCUUCACCAGGAUAGAAACUGGAGUCAGACAAGGUGACGAGGUUUCUGUUCAUUAUGAUCCAAUGAUUGCAAAGCUAGUUGUUUGGGCUGAGGAUCGUCAAGCAGCACUGAGAAAACUGCGAUACAGUUUGCAUCAGUAUAACAUUGUAGGAUUGAGCACCAAUAUUGAUUUCUUACUGAGCCUGUCGGGACACCCACAGUUUGAGGCUGGAAAUGUGCACACUGAUUUCAUUCCUCAGCACCAUGAUGAACUGUUUCCAGCCAGAAAGGCAAUCCCCCAUGAAGUCAUGUGUCAGGCAGCUCUAGGACUCAUACUGAAAGAGAAAAUGCUAACAGAUGCUUUUAGAGAUCAGUCAGAUGAUAAAUUCUCACCAUUUGCAUCCAGCACCGGUAGAAGAAUAAAUAUAUGUUACACUAGAAAACUCUCUCUGCUGGAUGGGGAAAACAUUGUGGAUGUAGCUGUAAGUUACAAUCAAGAGGGGUCAUACAACAUGCAGAUUGAAGAUAAAAAGUUCCUGGUUUCUGGAGAGAUCUUCAGUGAAGGUGAUUCAUUUUACUUGAGGUCUUCAGUAAAUGGAACAGUGUAUAAGUCCAGAUUGGUCAUUUUGGACAACACCAUUUACCUCUUUUUUCCGAGAGAGGGGCCCGGGUCGUGGGACAGGAAUUCAGCCACAGCCUGCAGGAACGAACGAGGGCAUUGGUGUCCCCGGCUUCGGAGAGCGGCACUCGCCGUGACUCACGGGUCAGCCCGUCGCACCGGGUAACGUCCUGCUGGGCAGCGCGAGUGUUGCCGCACCAAAAUGACGACAGCCCUUCGUGAACUUCAGUCACCGCCCGUGGGGGUCUCCGUCUCCCUUGCGCGCUUCAGCUGCUGUCACUUACUGUAGCUGGCACCCGGUGAAGAUCUGCGGCCUGGAGCCCCAGUUCCUGCUGCAUCAGUGGCGAGGACGCGGGGAGUGGGCAGCAGGAGAGUAGGACUGCGGUCGUAUUUCGGCCACUGGCUCACCGUGACUUCAGGCAAGUCACUUGGGCGUAUCAACCAGUGAACCUGUCCACAGAAACAAAUACACCCGUGAUUGUUCUGUCCAGCCAGAUGGGGAAUUACUUGGCUGUUUUACCUGUUCUGUUUGCCGUGUAGAACGUGCGUACUGGCCCGUCACUGGCAAUGGCCUAAGGUCCGAACUUGCCGCUUUUACCCAAGGUAUGCUAUGUUCUCAACGAGAACUUUUAACUGCUUGUACAGUUCAAAAUGAUAGCGUUUUUAUGCAGGAAUGGUUCAUGGGAGAAUGCCACGUAGUAUCUCUCUGAUACCGGGAAUAGCCUUCUGCACAAGAAUUCCAUUUGGAAGGUGAUACAUGCUACCGAGUGUCAUACUAAAAAAUCAGUAUUGCAGAAAUUCAUAAUUGAAACCUUGGCGUUUAUUUUUAUGUGGGCUGAUUGUAUUCCUUGACAGAACAGAGCCUGGGCUCUAAAAGCAAUGCAGUAUCUUCUAUGAGGCAUUUCAUGUUAGCUUAAAGCCUGUUGAUUUUACGAUGAAUCCGUGUUAAAACAAACAUGGAUGUUCUGGGUGAAUACCCUGUAUUUUUUAUUACAGCAGUAAUAAGGCAGUAAAACACAUGUCUAGAGUCCUACUGGGUUUUGAAAUUAUAAUGGUGGCUGGAUUUUAGCUUUAAUCUGUUUUCCGUGUAAACAGUUCUGGUGCCAGGAGGUUGCUCUGGAAAGGAUAACUGGUCUCUGUGAAGGGCAGCCGAUCUCGCUUAAAGCAGACGUUGAUGUACAGAGCCAGCAAGGCUCCAGGGAGCAUCUGGCGAAGGAGCCUGCUGCUGGGGGCUCCAUCCCUCCUGCACCUCUCCCAAGGGAAGAGUCGGCUUAGUCUGGGUUCUAGUGUUUUGCCCGCUCAGCAGUGACCUGGGACACACAGGCAGUCGCAAAUGCUGUAUGGUAACUGCAGCCAAGGACCCCCCGUGCGCCCAGCGUCCUGUGCCAAGCAUCCCAGGAACGUAAGACAUAGCUCCUGCUCUAUGGAGUUUUAAAAUGAGACAAAAUGUGAGCUAGAAUAAACCACUUUAACAACAGAACUCCCAUAUACAUGUGGUUAAUGCAAGUUUUCCUCAAAGUUUGCUGCACCAUAUUGAUGCUGACAGCCAGUCAGGGGCAUGGAGGUUGCAGUGUGCCACUUAGCAGAAAAGUGAUACUGGCUGGGUUGCAUGGUCAUGUUCCCAAAAACUGUUAGGACAGCGUGAGGAGAGGAAAAGGGUAAAUGUGUGCAACAUGUAUGGCAAGGAGGCAAGAGUCAUCUGACUGCCCUUGCUCUGUACGUCUGCACUACGCGCGCAGUCUGCGCACCUGGAGGCAAAAGGCUCUGCCUUCUGUACAUGGGGGUUAAAUUACUGUUUCGUGCAGUAAUAGCAAAGUGGGUGCGCUGAAUGCGGACGACUUGUGUUCAUCACGUUGAGCAAUUAAAGGUGGCACAUACAGAUCCCUGUGAUAGGUAAAUAAUACUGUCUCUCAGUCUCCUCGAUUCUUGAAAUCCCCCCUAAUUCUUUGUAGUGAGGAUGGAAAGCUGUUUACAGUUCUCAGGUCUAGGUUUUAAUCACAGAAUCAUAGAUAUGAUGGCACUGUCUCGUUUAUAGCUUGGGCAAUUUCAAAUCAUUCUGCUUACAAAGAUCCUAUGUUGCUUAUGGUUCUGAACUGAAAUGUCCACAUCUCAUAAAAUCAACCGGCUAUCUCGAUGCUUAUUGCCCUCUCAUUUCUUAAUUCAUAUUACUUUAGAUGCCUUGAUUUUAGUUAAUGUAUCUCAGUCCUUCUAAGGAGUUAAAAAAAAGAAAAAAAUAGCGAAGCCUUGCAGCGUGUUGCCCGUUAGGUGUCCUGGAAAGCCUCGGUUUUUUCAGGCUCGCCAGGGUACAGUUAGGUACGCGAGACGCUCACAGACUUUCACAGGCUCCCUGACCUGACUCGUCUUCCUCUGUCACAUAAACCUGGGCUGCUCCCUGGCACCCGACCCAUGCCGUCGCGUGGAACCCAGCUCCUAACAGUGCCUGCGACUGGGCGUCCUGACUUGUGAGCCCCUUACGCAAUGCAGGAAGGAUAAAAACCUUAAUAGAGGGUGAACACCCUUCCCUGCAAGCUGACAACAGCAAUCUUCAGAUACUGGUGACGUGCCAGUUUGAAGGUUGAGUUGCUUAGACACCUACA